AAUCAACGCUGGCGGCGUGCCUCAGACAUGCAAGUCGAACGCGAAAGGUUCCUUCGGGAACCGAGUAGAGUGGCGCACGGGUGAGUAACACGUAGGUAAUUUGCCUUUGGGUGGGGAAUAACUCAGGGAAACUUGAGCUAAUACCGCAUAAUGCAGCGGCUCGACAUCGAGACAGUUGUUAAAGCGGGGGAUCGCAAGACCUCGCGCCUAAAGAGAAGCCUGCGGCAGAUUAGCUAGUUGGUAAGGUAAUGGCUUACCAAGGCGACGAUCUGUAACCGGCCUGAGAGGGCGGUCGGGUCACACUGACACUGACAUACGGGUCAGACUCCUACGGGAGGCAGCAGUGGGGGAAUUUUGGACAAUGGGCGCAAGCCUGAUCCAGCCAUGCCGCGUGAGUGAAGAAGGCC
rnacentral:rRNA from 1 species